GAUGAACGCUGGCGGCGUGCUUAACACAUGCAAGUCGAACGGAAAGGCUCCUGCUUGUUGGGGUUCUCGAGCGGCGAACGGGUACGUGUCACGUAGGUGUUCUGCCCUGCUCUUUGGGAUAAGCCUGGGAAACUGGGCCUAAUACCGGACAGGACGAUAGUUUGGAUGCCAUUGUGGAAAGUUUUGUGGCGUGGGAUGAGCUCGCGGCCUAUCUGCUUGUUGGUGGGGUAAUGGCAUAGCAAGGCGUCGGCGGGUAGCCGGCAUGAGAGGAUGGACGGGCACAUUACGCCUGAGAUACGGCCCAGACUCCAACGGUAGGCAGCAGUGGGGAAUAGUGUACAGUGAGAGCAAGCCUGAUGCAACGACGCCGCGUGGGGGAAGACGGCCUGCGGGUAGUGAACUCCAGCCGCUUGAGACGAAGCGCAAGUGACGGUACCUGAAGAAGAAGCACCGGCUAACUACGUG
rnacentral:rRNA from 1 species